CUCACCUGUUCAACCUCAGUGAUGAAUGCUGGGAGCUGAAAAACAUUCCCAUCCCUACUUUACAAGAUGAAGUACAACUUUCGGUGAAAUGUCCAGUUGAAGAGUCUUUGUUACGUUUCUACAAAAUAAUUUGACUAGAUACCCUUUUCUGGUGGUCACUGCUGACUGGGGAUGAUGAGAACUGCAGGCUAACAUACUUACCAGAUAGGAGAAUGGUGAAUACGCCAAUGCCUUAGAACUUUUAUCACAUGAACCCGAUAUUCAGAGGGAGACUGGCAAUGGGACGCACACGGUGUAGUGUGAUAGAGACGCAAUGCCGGUUUGCUUGCCUUGUGCAAUAACGUCUGACUUGUAAACUCCAGGAAGUCAAUUGAUUGGGAUCAUAUUUGUUGUUGAUUGAGGUACAAGAGGAGCCAGCAAGCAAAACAGCAAUGGGGGCCUUUCUUAUAAUUAUCACAACCUCAGUCCCUGUUGCUACUAGAGGUUUACAAUAGGCUUUUUCUAAGUAACAGGGAAGAUCAGAACCUUUUCUGUUACAGCUGCCACAAGUUAAUUGGAUGUGUUAUCAACUUCUGCAUAAAACAAGGCACUAAGUUUGCAAGAUUUGAACUUUGCAUUUUGGCUUAACUUGAUGGCUCGUUGAGAGCUGAAGAAGCUGUUGCUGGGAGCAGUUAUGCAGCGUCCUGAGGCUGAAGAUUGAAGACAUUUGAAAUGCUGCUUAUUUAUGGCCCAAGGACACAUGAUAAAUGAUGGGUUGUUAAGAGCGAGACAGUGAAUGUGGUGUGUUAUCUCUCCUCUGGGAACUCCACUAACACUGCUGCCGUUUCACUGCCGCACCCUUAUCUGGAAACCCAAAAGAAAUGGCUUCAAAUAUCUUGUCAGAAGGAAAUGUCCGAGGAGGAUGACUCUCUUCGUCUAUUUGUUUGCUCUCCUGAGUUUUCUGCUUUCCAUUUCUCCUGUCAAGAGUUUCAUUGUCACCACUAUAUUGACCAGGAUCAUUGACCCACUCCACAAAUAUCUCACCAUUGAUGAGCUGCAUCUUUUCAUCAUUGCUUGUGAUCAGUUCUUCAGUAAAUGUUCCAUCCUGGUCAAGCACUUCAUCCCUCAUGUAAGGAAUAUUAUGCAAAACUGUCUCAUCCUCUACCAUAAAAGAAGAUGAAUAAAGAAUACAUUAUGGAACAUAUGAUGUAGACUUGUGCAAUUUUAAAAUGACGUUUUAUAAUUGAUGUUUUAAUUAUCUGUUUUUAAUUGUAUUGUUUUUGUAACUGUCUGUUUUUGGCAUCUAAUGACUUCUGGCCGUGAAGCUGCCCUGAGUCCCCCCUGGGGGUGAGAAGGACGGGAUACAAAUGGAUGAAAUAGAUAAAUAAAUAAACAGCAUUCGAAGAUGGAUUACUUGCUUUGGAAAAGAAAUGCAAGUCACUGAUGGUAGAAAACUUCCUGAUUACAUAUAAUGAGCUCACAGAGGUCAUGAUGUGUGCAGGUUGGAUCCGGUAUUGUUUCCAUUAUUGAUUUAAGAUUGUAUCAUCUCAUGGUUAGAAUUAAAAAUACUCUUUGCUUCAUCUGCUUGUCUGAACCUCUUGGCAGCAUAUAUUCUGAUUCUACAUAUUUCCACCAGCGAAUCAUUCCCUUCUCAGAUAAGCGAGAUCUAUAUAUGAUUAUUGUAUGUAGUACUUUUAGAUUGUUUUUAUAUGGUUGCACUUUUAUGUUGUAUUUAAUUUAUAUGCAACUAGCUAUGGUCUAACAACUUAUCAUAUAAUGCAGUACUUUAUAAUUUAAUAACAGGGUCAAGUAUGCUAUAGGAUCAAUGCUGGAAGAAGUCAGCCUUACCAACUGUGGAAGAAUGGAUAGUAAAAGUUUUCAGAAAAGCAGAAAUGAGCAAAUUGGCCGUGAUGAGCAAACACAAAAGUUUUAUCAAAUACUGUGAAGCAUUUCGAAACUUUGAAGAAGAAAAAAGAUGAAAGUAUUAACAGAAGGCUU
rnacentral:lncRNA from 11 species